rnacentral:rRNA from 1 species
UACGAAGGGGGCUAGCGUUGCUCGGAAUCACUGGGCGUAAAGGGUGCGUAGGCGGGUCUUUAAGUCAGGGGUGAAAUCCUGGAGCUCAACUCCAGAACUGCCUUUGAUACUGAAGAUCUUGAGUUCGGGAGAGGUGAGUGGAACUGCGAGUGUAGAGGUGAAAUUCGUAGAUAUUCGCAAGAACACCAGUGGCGAAGGCGGCUCACUGGCCCGGUACUGACGCUGAGGCGCGAAAGCUAGGGGAGCAAACGGGG